UUUAUUUAGAGUUUGAUCCUGGCUCAGGACGAACGCUGGCGGCGUGGAUAAGGCAUGCAAGUCGUACGAUUCUGUCAUUUGUAUAGCAAUAUAUAGAAGACAGGAUAGUGGCAAACGGGGUAGUAACACGUGGGUACUUACCCCCGAGAUGGGAAUAGCCAGUCGAAAGAUUGGAUAAUACCCAAUGGUCCCCGAGAGUAAUCGAGGGGUAAAGGUUCGCAAGAACCGCUUGGGGAAAGGCCUGCGGGCUAUCAGCUAGUUGGUAGGGUAAUGGCCUACCAAGGCGAUGACGGCUAGGGGGGGUGAGAGCCUGUUCCCCACCAAUGGCACUGAGACACGGGCCAUACACCUAUGGGUGGCCGCAGUCGAGAAUCUUCCACAAUGGGCGAAAGCCUGAUGGAGCGACGCCGCGUGCAGGAAGAAGUCCUUAGGGAUGUAAACUGCUUUUAUCUAUGAGAAAGUCCGCCUCAUCGGCGGGUUGAUGUUAGUAGUUGAAUAAGGGGUUGCUAAACUCGUGCCAGCAGCCGCGGUAAUACGAGUGCCCCGAGCGUUGUCCGGAAUCACUGGGCGUAAAGGGUGUGUAGGUGGCGCUGUUAGUCUUGUCUUAAAUCCCGAUGCUUAACAUCGGGGCUGGAUGGGAAACGGCAGUGCUUUGAGGAUGUGAGAGGUUGGCGGAACUCUGGGUGUAGGGGUGAAAUCCGUUGAUAUCCAGGGGAACACCAAAAGCGAAAGCAGCCAACUGGCGCAUUCCUGACACUGAAACACGAAAGCGUGGGGAUCAAAAAGGAUUAGAUACCCUUGUAGUCCACGCCCUAAACGAUGUUCUCUGGCUAUUCGAAGUAUCGACCCUUCGAGUGGCGAAGCUAACGCGUUAAGAGAACCGCCUGGGAAGUACGAUCGCAAGAUUAAAACUCAAAGGAAUAGACGGGGACUUGCACAAGCAGUGGAUCAUGCGGUUUAAUUCGUAGGUAAACGAAGAACCUUACCAGGGCUUGACAUUCCACUGAAUCCGCUGAGAAACCGGCGGAGUCCGCAAGGACAGUGGGACAGGUGCUGCAUGGUUGUCGUCAGUUCGUGGUUUGAAUUGUUCCCUUAAGUGGGGUAACGAACGCAACCCUUGUCGUCUGUUAUAAGUGUCAGGCGAGACCGCCCGUCCCAGUGCCGAUAUUGUCAGCGCGUUGAGCGCGUGUCCCAAAAGGGACUAGCUUGCCAAAAGGCAAGACAAUGUCGGUAGCGGGACGGGAGGAAGCGAGGAUGACGCCAAAUCAGCAUGGCCCUUUGAUGCCCUGGGCGACACGCAUGAUACAAUGGCCGGUACAACGGGUUUGCCAAGCCGCGAGGCGGAGCUAAUCCCAUCAAAGCCGGCCCCAGUUCGGAUUGGAGUCUGCAACUCGACUCCAUGAAGUUGGAAUUGCUAGUAAUCGCGGGUCAGCCAUACCGCGGUGAAUACGUUCUCAAGUCUUGUACUCACCGCCCGUCAAGCCAAGGAAGUUGGGAAUACCCGAAGUCUCGGUUCUACCGGGCCUAAGGUAAGUUCAAUAACAGGGGCUAAGUCGUAACAAGGCACGGCUAGCGGAAGCUGGUCGUGGAUAUUAUCUAAA
rnacentral:rRNA from 1 species